AGAAGCCUGGAUGUGCAGACCCUCUACUUUGUAUGCAUGCCAGACGUCGCAGAAAAAUGAGAUGAACUCCAAUCCAGUUAUCUUCACAAGCCAACCAAAUGAGAAAAGAGAUGUGCUGGUGUGACACCUCACACCAGUAGGUGGGAUGCGCAAAGAGACCCCACACCAAAAGGAAGAGGGGCAGCAAGAAGGGGAGAGGCCAA
rnacentral:lncRNA from 1 species